rnacentral:rRNA from 1 species
CAGGACGAACGCUGGCGGCGUGCCUAAUACAUGCAAGUCGAACGGUCUUUCUAUGGAAGCUUGCUCCACUGAGAAGAUAGUGGCGAACGGGUGAGUAACACGUGGGUAACCUGCCCAUAAGAGGGGGAGUAACAUCCGGAAACGGGUGCUAAUACCGCAUAGUUUUCUUGAUUGCAUGAUUGAGAAAGGAAAGACGGCCUUUGUGCUGUCGCUUAUGGAUGGACCCGCGGCGUAUUAGUUAGUUGGUGAGGUAACGGCUCACCAAGACGAUGAUACGUAGCCGACCUGAGAGGGUGAUCGGCCACAUUGGGACUGAGACACGGCCCAAACUCCUACGGGAGGCAGCAGUAGGGAAUCUUCCGCAAUGGACGAAAGUCUGACGGAGCAACGCCGCGUGAGUGAAGAAAGGUUUUCGGAUCGUAAAACUCUGUUGUCAGAGAAGAACAAGUUGGAGAGUAACUGCUCCAGCCUUGACGGUAUCUGACCAGAAAGCCACGGCUAACUACGUGCCAGCCGCAGC